AACGAACGCUGGCGGCAGGCCUAACACAUGCAAGUCGAGCGAGGUAGCAAUACCUAGCGGCGGACGGGUUAGUAACGCGUGGGAACGUGCCCAAAGGUACGGAAUAGCCUCGGGAAACUGAGAGUAAUACCGUAUGUGCCCUUCGGGGGAAAGAUUUAUCGCCUUUGGAUCGGCCCGCGUUGGAUUAGGUAGUUGGUGGGGUAAUGGCCUACCAAGCCGACGAUCCAUAGCUGGUUUGAGAGGAUGAUCAGCAACACUGGGACUGAGACACGGCCCAGACUCCUACGGGAGGCAGCAGUGGGGAAUCUUAGACAAUGGGGGAAACCCUGAUCUAGCCAUGCCGCGUGAGCGAUGAAGGCCUUAGGGUUGUAAAGCUCUUUCAGCUGGGAAGAUAAUGACGGUACCAGCAGAAGAAGCCCCGGCUAACUCCGUG
rnacentral:rRNA from 2 species